rnacentral:rRNA from 1 species
AUGGAGGUGGAAGCAACAGGCCCGCGCCGCGCGCAGCAGCAACCAUGCAAGAACGGCAGCGCCAAGCAGCUCCCCAGCGACGCCGCUAAACCGCUCCGCCUCAACCCCCUCCUCGUCAUCAACUUCCUCCUCAUGGUCGUCGGCUCGGCGUUCGGCCCGCUCCUCCUCCGCGCCUACUUCCUCCACGGCGGGACCCGUAAGUGGCUCUCCAGCCUGCUCCAGACCGCCGGGUGGCCGCUCCUGCUCGCGCCGCUCAGCGCCUCCUUCCUCUCCCGUCGCCGGAGUCACAAAGACCGCGGCUCUGUCGCGCCGCUCUUCCUCAUGUCGCCCCGCCUCCUGGCCGCGACCGUCGCCAUCGGCUUCAUGACCGGCCUCGACGACCUCCUCUACGCCUACGGGCUGGCCUACCUCCCGGUGUCCACCUCCUCCAUCCUCAUCUCCACGCAGCUGGCCUUCACGGCCGCCUUCGCGCUGCUGCUCGUGCGCCAGCGGUUCACGGCCUUCUCCGUGAACGCCGUGGUGCUGCUCAGCGUCGGCGCCGCCAUGCUGGGGAUGAACGCCGGAGGUGACCGCCCCGCGGGGGUGACGCGGGCGCAGUACUCCGCCGGGUUCGGCAUGACGCUGGGCGCCGCGGCGCUCUACGGCCUCAUGCUGCCCGUCAUGGAGCUCAGCCAAGCGAAGCACGCGGCGAGGACCGGCGCGGCCGUCACGUACACCCUCGUCAUGGAGAUGCAGAUCGUCAUCGGGUUCACCGCCACGGCCUUCAGUGCGGUCGGGAUGCUUGUGAACAACGAUUUCCACGCUAUCCCAAGAGAAGCCCGGGAGUUCGGGCUCGGCCAGAUUGGCUACUACCUACUGCUGGCCGCCUCGGCCAUUGUGUACCAGUUCUUCUUCCUCGGCACCAUUGGUGCCAUCUUCUAUGGCUCAGCGCUGCUCGCCGGUGUCAUCAUGACCGUGCUCAUCCCAGUGACUGAGGUGCUUGCUGUCCUAUUCUUCCAUGAGCCAUUCAACGGUACCAAAGGUGUCGCCCUCGCGCUAUCCCUCUGGGGCUUCGUCUCCUACUUAUAUGGAGAGAUCCGAGCCAAGGCGCAACACUCUGACAAACCAUUGAAUACGGAGCAUUUGGACCCUUAG